rnacentral:pre_miRNA from 1 species
GGGGGCGGAGGCUGCAGAGAGCUGAGAUUGUGCCACUACACACCAGCCUGGGUGACAGAGUGAAACCCUGUCUCAAAAUAUUUAUUUUCUUUUUUUUUUUUUUUUUGAGACAGAGUUUCACUCUCGUUGCCCAGGCUGGAGUGCAAUGGCACAAUCUCGGCUCACUGCAACCUCUGCCUCC